rnacentral:rRNA from 1 species
UAACACGUGGGUAACCUGCCUUAUAGUGGGGGAGUAGCCUUUCGAAAGGAAGAUUAAUACCGCAUAAGAUUGUAGUAUCGCAUGAUAUAGCAAUUAAAGGAGCAAUCCGCUAUAAGAUGGACCCGCGUCGCAUUAGCUAGUUGGUGAGGUAAUGGCUCACCAAGGCGACGAUGCGUAGCCGACCUGAGAGGGUGAUCGGCCACAUUGGGACUGAGACACGGCCCAGACUCCUACGGGAGGCAGCAUG